rnacentral:lncRNA from 1 species
GUGACUGCAUGGUGCCUGGCCCUGGCACAGCUGGUGACUUCCCUUGUAGAGUGUUUGCGUAGUGGAGUGGCUGUGGCUCACCACCCCCUUUCCCAAGUGCUUUAAUGAAGACACCUCCCUUGUGUUUCAACCAAUCAGAAACUACUUUAACUAAAUGUACUAACCUUUUUCCCUCCUAAUUUGCUUUGAAAAAGUUUAGUAAUUCAAUUAAGCGUGAUUCUAUCUUAGAAGAAAUAAACUCAGUAUUAAUUCAUGUCUAAAUCACUGGGGUUGAGACUCCUUCAGCCUCCCUGGUUGAUUAGAGAUUCUGAGAAGCAGUAGAGCUGGCUGGGAGGUGGGCUACAGAGGAGCAAGCAAGCACUUCAGACUGACCAAAGGUUGUGGUGGCCCACAUGGCUCUGCCCAGUGUCCUGUGCUUUGCCACAGUCCUCUGGGGUCAGUGUCUCGGGCAGUGGGAUGGAACUGUGUGAUUGCUCUUAGGUGAGUUCCGAGUCUUAAUCUAUGCAUUCAGAGAAAUAUUUUUAUAUGCGUUGUGUAAUUUAUAACAAGGGGUUUUCUUUUAGGCUUUGUUAACUGAAUGCUCCUCUCCUCCUCCACUGCAUAGUUAAAGCAUGUGUUCACACUGUGUAAACAUUCACAGAAGACUUUUCCUCGUGUGUUGUUGACUCUUUAAACAUAACAGGUAUUAUUAAAAUUAACUGUUAACUGACCCAGCC